rnacentral:rRNA from 2 species
CCCAUGCCGAACACGGAAGUUAAGCUCUUCAGCGCCGAUGGUAGUUGGGGGCUUCCCCCUGUGAGAGUAGGACGCCGCCAAGC